UCCGUAGGUGAACCUGCGGAAGGAUCAUUACAGAAAUAGGAGAAGGUUGCUUAACUGCAAUCCUUUUCUUUCUACACAUGUGUUUUUCUUUUUUUUGAAAACUUUGCUUUGGUGGGCCCACGGCCUGCCAGAGAUUAAACUCAACCAAAUUUUUAUUUAAUUGUCAACUUGAUUAACUAAUAGUCAAAACUUUCAACAACGGAUCUCUUGGUUCUCGCAUCGAUGAAGAACGCAGCGAAAUGCGAUAAGUAAUAUGAAUUGCAGAUAUUCGUGAAUCAUCGAAUCUUUGAACGCACAUUGCGCCCUUUGGUAUUCCAAAGGGCAUGCCUGUUUGAGCGUCAUUUCUCCCUCAAACCUUCGGGUUUGGUGUUGAGCGAUACGCUGGGUUUGCUUGAAAGAAAGGCGGAGUAUAAACUAAUGGAUAGGUUUUUUUUUUCCACUCAUUGGUACAAACUCCAAACAUUCUUCCAAAUUCGACCUCAAAUCAGGUAGGACUACCCGCUGAACUUAAGCAUAUCAAUAAGCGGAGGAAA
rnacentral:rRNA from 1 species